rnacentral:lncRNA from 1 species
UCUUGCCCCAGGGAGGGGAUUGACUGGCUUUUGUGGGGAGGUGGGCGGACAUUGGGCCACAGGACCUUUCCCCCUCCAGGAAUCACUGGCUCCAACCUGGCCCCAGGGCAGGGGCUGUCUGGCUUAGACAGGGGUUGCAGGGAUCUAUCCCAGACUCUCGGCUUCUUCCAGCUCCCACAGGUGGCCUCACUUGGGUGUUUAUCGAAAUCAGCUGCAAACUCGUGUUCAUGGCAACUGGAUUCAUCCUGGCCUAUUACCUCACCCUGCUCUAUUACAGACGGACACCCUGCUGCUAUCGUGGAAGCAGAAGGAAGGACAGGCCGGGGGCCAGGGAAUCCACUGUGCCAGAAUCCGGUUUGUAGAUCGGGACGUUCCUCAGCCACCGAAGAGCUGACAAGGAACUGGAAUCUCAGAGGACUUAGGAAACAGAGAAUGAGACCUCAGCUGGGGGAACUGCCACCCUGGGAGAAGCCAACAGGCCCAUCUAGUCUGAUAUCCUGCCCCCUCAGACUCAUGCACGUGGGAAGCACAUGGAAGCUGCUUGUAAUGUUUAUAUGACCAGUAGAUGAUCUGUUUGUUGCCUUGAUGAUUAUGACUUUGUUUGCUCUGUGAUGACCGCCAGGCAGCCAGAUACCCCAGUGACAAUCACAGUAUGAGACCCUCUAGAGAACAGAGCAGACCAGCUGAUCCUAGUUACUGAUCCCUGCUAGCCGACGCCCAACCCAGCGGCUCGAACAGCCGCUCCCAGGCAGUGCGGGGAGAAAGUUUCACCAACAAACUUUUUUUGGGUGCAAAAUGCAAAUUCGGCAACACCAAACUUUGUGUAAAUCUGGGACGAUUUUGCCAAUUUGUCUGUUUGGGGGGGGAAACCUCCCAAAAUUCCCCAAAAUUGAAAGAUUUCAUUUAGACAUUUUCAAAAAGAAACAUUUCACUUUCUCAAUUCAAACACACUGUAUGGUUUGAAAUUUCCUGUAAUUUUACUUUGUGGUUAAAAAAGUCUAAAAUGCUGGAAAUUGAAACAAAAGGUUUCAUCCUCAAACCAAAUCUA